GCGCCUUUUUCUCGCGCGUCAUCUCGCGCUAAGAAAGAAACACUUGCGGCUCGCGCUGGAUUUUCGGCCAUGCGACACACAGACAAGAUCUUCACGAAAUUGAGCACUUCACAGCUCUCGCUGUAAAAGACACAGGGACCUACACACAGCAGUCAUACCAUAAACUACAAACAGGAACGAAAAAACUAGUCAAAUAGUGGAAGGACAAUAAAAACAAACAACACGUCACAAAUCUGGCCAACAGGAAGUCUAUGGGUAUCGACGAGGUACCAAACGAGUUUCUAAGAGUACUGAAAUCGCCAGCAAGAAAGGCCUUCGGGGGUCUUCUGAAUAAAAUCCUACACACAAAGCAACGUCCUGCUGAAUGGCAUAGAUAAAGCUAUUAUACGAUAGAAAAUGAAAAGACAGUAAUCGCCUAGACUCCUACAAACCAACGUCUAUAAGCUCCCGAUCUCCAUCCUAAACUCAGGGACUGGUGUGAGCCAGGUCAGAACGCUUUGCAAAGGGGACCUCGAGGAAGUGAUAACCUCUUCACUCUGACGCAAGUGAUGAGGCAUGAAUGGUGAACAGUGCCGAACUGCAUCUGGUGUUCCUGGGCCUAGAAAAGGCCUCCCAAACAAUAGGCUCCUAAAGAUUGGGACGGACGAUCGAGUCGCUGAUUUCUUUCAGAAUACAUACUCCAACUGCAUAGGCGUCUACUCGCUGGGGAACGCCGAGGAAUUACCGAUUUCGACAUGGCUGCCAACACUUUUCAACUUAUACAUAAACAAUCUACUACAGAUGUUGGAGAAUACAGGCUUUGUUCUUCUCGACAGUCACGACAGAGGUUAGGAAAAUGGUGAUGUUCCACGUAAGGUUUGCCUGCGGCGACAUGUUGCACGUGGGUAGGACUGCGGAUAAUUUCUUACCACCUGGGGUUCCUUUGACGUGCGCCGGAAAUCUCCGACACAUGGUGCUGGAAGCAAUGGCCUAUCUCUGCAAUGGCCCUGGCCAAUCUCCCUUAGUGGCUCACGGCCAUCUUUUCAUUGGAAGAAGAAGAAGAAGAAUGGGACGAGCAAUCGCUGUUACCACCCUGCACGGAACCCUGACCAAUCGCCCGUGUGGCUUGUGGUCACUGUGCUUAGUGGUGAAAGAAGAAGAAGAAUCGCUGUUUCAGCUGAAGACGGUAAUCCGACCGAAAAGAGCUCAUAGAGACUGGGUCAUACGAUACGCCCCGCCCGAAGAGGCGGCCAUGAAUUUCAAGGAGAAUCCACCGACUGCCAGUAACGUCGUCUCCGAACCAUUCAGCAGCGUCUCCUUCCGGAACGUCAUUGUUUCUCCGGUUGUCUCUCUGAAGAGAAACUCACUGGCUGCAGAGAGAACAGAAUGGAGCGUGCUGUCAUUCCUAAAGAACCCACGCAGGCCUUUACAGGCUCCAGGACAGAGGCUCAACUUUCACAGACAGUCCAUAGUAGGCCCAUUGGUAACGCUGUGCGUCAUUGCGUUCCUGGUGACCAGCAUUAUGGGCUACAGCAUCUACUACCUGUCCAUCCACAAUAAUACGACCAGCACAACCGAUGUCCUUGGCGCAAUCCGGACCCUCAGAAUCGUUCCCAAGGCAUUUAAAGAGGAUAAUGUUACAACUGUCAACUACAUGAACAAUACCGUCCAAGACUAUUUCGGAAAAGCGGUCACUGUUGGGAUGGCGCUCAUUUUCUGACCCUUUCCGUACCAAUUUUUCUCUUUUGUUUUUUCGUCCGUGUGGUGUAUUUUGCGCCAGUAUACUCUCUAGCCAUUCCGUACGUUUUUUUAUACAAUAUUUUCCCAUCUCUCCCGAAAGCACCAUUUACCACAACUACAAACUGCAAAUAAAGCAUAUGCGCAUCA